UUCACGAUUCAGGAACUAUUUUCAUGUUUAAUUAAUUACAAGUAUCAUUCUAAAUCCAAUUUAGGGUUUUUUUCUACUGUUUUUUCUUUUAGGGUUUUUUAGGGACGAAAGGGUUGGCAGCGAUAUUGUUAAUUUACUUAUAUGCAUUAAACUUCCUUUUUUUCUUUUUCUUUUUUUUUUUUUGAUAAACCAUGUUUAGUAUUAGUGACAAUUUAGUGUGAUGUUAAAGUUUUACAUGAAAACCAUAUGAAUGUUAAUGGGUUAGAAUCUGUCAAACAUGUGUUAUUCAGAUCCACAUACUAAUGGUUGAGCUGUGUUUGAAUAGUUGUUAAUGGAACUUAAUUUUUUGAUGAUUGGCCUCAGUAUAUUCACUUAUGGUAAACACAUUACUGAAUAAAGCUUUACAAGAGCCGUUCAAUGAAAUCUGACCUCUAUUUAGUGGCAGUCUACAUAAUAGAUUGUAUGUUGUGUGGUUUGUUUCGCUAAUGUUGAAUCGGGUUAAGACACUAAAACAACAAUGAACGGUGCUUAUACAUUGGCUAACCCAAAAGUCUAACACCAACGUUUAUGUUUAACAAAUAAUAUUCACGAAAACCUUGAAAGAUUAAGUUAAUACGGUACAUAUCUCCUUUCAGGUUAUCCAAGGUUUUAUGAAUUGUUCAGACCACCACGGCGUUACCUCUUUGUUGUUUGUCAGAGUACAGGUCCCUAAAUACCUUAAGGGAGGAGUCAGUACUUUAUAUGAUAUUGGGUUGAAAGCCGGCAAAUAUUAGACCUUCAUAAGCAACGCGGCCAUUAAAAGAGUUGUUCCUGAUCCUAGCGGUGUAUAUGACCUUCAGAAGCAAGGCGGCAACUAAAAGAGUAGUUCCCGAUCCUAGCGGUGUAUAUGAGGACAACCACUAAUCGAUACCAUUGACAUAGCUACAUAGGGUCAAAAUGUAAAGGACAACUAAAACAGCUGCUUCCACUUUUUUGUUGUAAAAAUAAAGUGGAGAAAGAUUAAGCCCAUAAAAGUACUUCAAUUCAUGAUAUUUUUUUUUUGUACUCUGAACUUUUUUGUAUGUGGUAACUGUUACACAAUGCCUCUUUGUGUAAUAUCUUGCUAAAUGAAGGUUGAAAAGGACACUAACUUCAUUUUUCUUAA